rnacentral:rRNA from 1 species
AGUGAACGCUGGCGGUAGGCCUAACACAUGCAAGUCGAACGGCAGCACAGUAAGAGCUUGCUCUUAUGGGUGGCGAGUGGCGGACGGGUGAGGAAUACAUCGGAAUCUACUUUUUCGUGGGGGAUAACGUAGGGAAACUUACGCUAAUACCGCAUACGACCUACGGGUGAAAGCAGGGGAUCUUCGGACCUUGCGCGAUUGAAUGAGCCGAUGUCGGAUUAGCUAGUUGGCGGGGUAAAGGCCCACCAAGGCGACGAUCCGUAGCUGGUCUGAGAGGAUGAUCAGCCACACUGGAACUGAGACACGGUCCAGACUCCUACGGGAGGCAGCAGUGGGGAAUAUUGGACAAUGGGCGCAAGCCUGAUCCAGCCAUACCGCAUGGGUGAAGAAGGCCUUCGGGUUGUAAAGCCCUUUUGUUGGGAAAGAACAGCAGCAGGUUAAUACCCCGCUGUUCUGACGGUACCCAAAGAAUAAGCACCGGCUAACUUCGUG